rnacentral:rRNA from 1 species
UACGGAGGGUGCGAGCGUUGUCCGGAAUCACUGGGCGUAAAGGGCGCGUAGGCGGCCUGAUAAGUAGGGGGUGAAAUCCUGCGGCUUAACCGCAGGGCUGCCUUCUAAACUGUCAGGCUCGAGCACAGUAGAGGCAGGUGGAAUUCCCGGUGGUAGCGGUGGAAUGCGUAGAGAUCGGGAAGAACAUCAGUGGCGAAGGCGGUCUGCUGGGCAGUUUCUGACACUGAUGCGCGACAGCGGUGGGGAGCAAACAGG